AUAGAUCAUAUGAGGUGGAGUUGGAGUCAGGUGGUGUUGUGAGGCGUAAUCGUCGCCACCUCAGACACAAUUUCACCCGGCGCUCACUAACACAGAACACACCCACACCUCGUGCAGGCCCUAUAGACGUUAAUAAACGACUGCCUUUCUGCACCCCAGUCACAUCCCGCCACAGCUCUCAUCAGGUUUAUAACUUUUUUGCAUUUAGUUUCUAAGUUCCUAAUAUGCAUUUUCCAUGUACACCUACUGGCUUUGUAAACAUCAUAUAACAAGAUUUGCUUGUCGACAUCUUGAAUCCCCACUUAUAUGACCACAUCUCUACUUCCCUGAUUGCUUUCCUUAUGUUACCUAAUACGUAUGACACAUUCCUUCCUCUCAUCACAAUGGCCCCAUCAUCCGCAUAUAGUGCUGUUUUUGUGCAUCCAUCCAUUUUUGAAAAAAUAUCAUUUAUCAUUAUGUUAAACAGUAUCGGACUAAUUGCACUCCCCUGGGGAAUACCAUUGUCUACAUUAAAUUCUGUAGAUACCUCUGAUCCAACUUUAACUUUCCUACCUGUUAAAAAGUCCAUAAGCCAAUUAUAUAACCUUCCUCCUAUACCCAUACUACUUAUCUUAAUAAGGAAACCUUCCCUCCACAUGGUAUCAUAUGCCUUUUCUCUGUCAAAAUAUAGAAUUGUCAUUAGUUCUUUCAUUUUCAAUGCCUUUUCCACAUCAUUACUUACUCUAACUAGAGCAUCUGUUGUGGAGCGCCCUUUUCUAAAUCCACUUUGUAUAUUGGUCAGUAAUCCUCUCUGUUUCAAUAUAUGUGAUAAUCUACGAACUAUUAUCCUCUCCAUCCAUUUGCACAAGUGGGAUGUCAAUGCUAUGAGCCUAUAGUUAUCGGGAUUAGCUGGGUCCUUACCAGGCUUGUUGAAUGGUAAUAUUACUGCACUUUUCCAACUGUGUGGUAUUAUUCCAUCCCGCCAAAUUUUAUUAAACAGUCUUGAUAUUAACUUGCCUGGUAACUGUCUGAACAUGGCAUAUCCUUAUUAUUCUCUCUUAAUGCCCGUUCUUUCUGCUGUUUAUGUAUGUCACUAAGGUUUUCACAACUGUGUACUGCCACAAAGGCCCUCCCCCUUUCCUUUAUCUGAUACUAUUAUCUUCUCUCUAUCAAUCAAAGCUGGAAUUUUACCAGACGUCCUUUUCCCAUUCAUUCUCUUGAACGUAGACCAUAUAUCCCCUAAUUUGACUCCUCUGCCUAUGGUGGAACAGAAUUCUCUCCAGUUUCUCUUUUUGUUACACUUUAUUGUCCUACGUGCCACAGCCCUUUUCCUUUGAUAAUCGGAGCGUCGGACGACCCCGCGUCACCGCUGAGCACAGCACACAUCUCUGUGGGUUGGGAAGGGUGCCCGAGUUCCCCAGGGCCGGUGGGUCGUGGGCUGGGGGAAAAAGGCGCCAGCCACGGAGCCGGCCUGGGUUGGCGCAGCUCCUGGUCUGGCCGACGCCGGCGAAUUCUCCCGGUCCCUCUGCCCGCUGGGAUGCACCGCCAGAUGGUCCUCCGCCAGGGUGAUGACACUGAUUAAUACCAGCUGAGGCCACCCUGAACCACUCCCUUCUCAGCCCCCCCUGCAGCCGAGCCAAACCACGCCCGCUACCACAGGGAACAUACUCUCUCACACUGUAUGAUCACCAUCUCGUUUGCUUUUAAUCCGUGUGGCUUCAAUCACUUUACCUCCCUGAAUCUCAUUUUUGACAUCUUCCAUUGACAUACUCAAUGGUACACCUGAGAUCACUCCUCUCACUUUUGUCAUUGCUCCUGUUAUAUGUGCUUUCAUUCUUUCCCCUUGAAGUGAGGACAUUUUCAGUAUCUUUUCUUGUUGUUGUUUGCUAGUUGCAUGUAUCAGUAUUCUUUUAUUGCUCACAAACCCAGCAAAUAUGAUUUUACCAAUCUCUUUCUCAAUCGCCUUAGUAAGUUUGAACACUGCAUGAAAAGUGGGAUUUUCGGCAGUAUGCGGCACUGUAAAUUGUCGUGGAAUUUCAGUUUUGCGGCUGUUCACGGCAAUUUGCGGGCAACGCCGAAAACUGCCGUAAAUUGUCAGAAAUUGAUGUGGGCCUCCCUUGGCAGUUGUCCCCCCAUGACCCCCCUCCUCCUAAUUCUAGGGGAGGCUUUGACAUGUAAAUGAAAAUGCUGUGAGCUAUACAAAUGCAAAUCAGGAACGCCGAGGGAGUUUUAUGCCAUUGGCUAAUGGCAAUUUGCCAUUGCUAAUUGCCAUUAGCAAUUAGUUUUAAUCAAGGUAAAAUGAGCAUUCCAUGCAAACAACAUUUGAAUCAGAAUGAGGGGUCUGCAGAGAUCACAGUCUCCUAGAGCUCAACUACAGUGCAUAGUGGCAGGACUACAGUGACCUUUUCUUUGGUCUUACUUAAAUGCACAGAGGAUGUAUUAACCACACAUCUUCUAGCAAUGCGCUCAACUGGCAGAAAUGAUGCUGGGUAUGACGUGUCUGUUCCCUGCAAGCCCCAAACUUCUAUUGGCUUUCCAUAAAAAUGUCUGUCCGGGUGGAGAUAAAGCCAGGAAACUUGUGCAAGAACAUGUUUAAAUGCAGUUCCCUUUGACACAACAUUAACAACUAUAAACUGCUUUAUAAUGGCUGGUCGUAGUUCUGCUAGAGGGUCAAGGACGGGUUCCUCAAAACUGUUAGUGUUUCCACACCACUUUGGUGACCUUUCUGCUCUGCAUCUAUCGAUUAAGUUACAUUCAUACAUGUUACCAGUUUACAUGUCAUGGCAAAACAUUCAACCUCAGUGACACAAGGGUACAUCUGAUGAUACAUGGUCAACAUUGCAUGUCUGUCAGACUCAUCCAAGAGUGUCUGGUGGAAUGGAGAAAGAGGCACCACUGUACAGUUUUCUAGGGAAAGUUGUUAGGGUUAGGGUUAGCUGACACCAAAACACUGCUUUACAUAAAGCAUAUCAGCUGUUUCAAAGUCCCAACCAUUUGUCUUCCUAAAAUACUGGUCCUUCCGUAUAACAAUAACCUCGUAUGUGAUUGGAGGACCCUUAGACUCCUCGUCCAAUCACGUGUGAGGUCAUAGGCAUGACUCAGACAGCAGUACAGUAAUCCCUCGUUUAUCGCGGGGGUUACGUUCCGAAAAUGACCCGCGAUAAGUGAAAUCCGCGAAAUAGAAACCUUUUUUUUUUUUUACAAUUAGCAACUAUUACAUGUAUACAAAUACAGUGACUCGCGUGUAGGCCGUUUCACUGCUCUUCAGACUGGGCCGCUGCAUCCUGACUGCGCUCUGCAGUGUUCUCUUCUUCUGAAGCCCGCGGUGCAGGUGUGUUUGUUCGGGAGAAGAACAUAGUGAUAGGCAGCUGUUGUCGCUCUUUUUUCUUCUUUGCAAAAAGAUCAUUGUACACCGACAUGCCACCAUCGAUUACGUUGGAGAACUGUAAUUAACGGCUCGGGAGUGAGUUUUUAGCGAAUCAGAAUGCAGAGCACAAUGCACCAAAAAAAAAAAAAAAUGCAAUAUGAAAAUCCGCGAAAUAGCGAAUCCGCGAUAAGUGAACCGCGAAGUGGCGAGGGAUCACUGUACUUGCAAGACGAGCAUACAAACAGACAUAUUCAGAAGAACUGUAUCUCCAGUUCCUUUGUUUGGUUUUUGCUGGUUGGUGAAUAAUGGCUGGACGGCGUCUCGCCUUCAACUCCUCUCCGCGGUCACCAACUUUCGGCCAGUCCGCAGACAGACAGAAGAAGCUGCUGAAAGCUCUCAGUGGAUCGUCUCGUCAACUCCAACUACAAACUGCCGAUAUCAACGAGCGGUUCGCUCCACUGGAGCAUUCGGGACUCUGCGGGUUUCUGUCCAUGGAGGAGAGGAACCGACUCAAAGAAGAGGAGACGGGCGCACGAUCCCAAGAUAGCGCGGUCCGCCGUCUGCACAACUCCGAGACGAAUUACAGGCGCUACGAACCGGAGCAAGGACUAAUCUUGCCUCAUAAUGAGGCGGUGACCUCGUAUUUGCUCCGGGAAAAGUCCAGAUUUAGACGACGUCAUUGUGUUAAGUGACACUGUUUACUGUUUCUCCUUCCCUGUUCAAUGUUACUGUGACUUGCGUUUGAUUUUUUUUGUAUUCAUACCACACUCAUUUAAUUGUUUUCUUUAAUUGUGCCGCCUGUAAGACGUAUUUUGAGACGGGACGCUGGAGCUUCAGGUUCAGCCGGAACACUCAUUGCGGGCGGAAGCUGCGAAGGAUUCAGAUUCAGUGAGUCGAGCGAGAAGAGGCUGCUGGAAUCGAGACAAAGUGUGCUGGCUGAUGACGAGGUGGAACUCUGGAAAUCCGCCACCGUAGAGCUCACGUCGGACGGAGGGGACGGCGUUGUUGGCGGGGUCUCGGGGUGGAUUGUACGGUCGCCACACACACGAGGCGCCUGCACAACAGACCUGCCUCGGAAAAUACGGCGCCAGUGACGGUCUACAACCCCGAGGAGGCAAACGGACAGUUUACUGAGCUGUAGUUUUUUAAACCGCCGUUACCCAAGUGUGGGCAGAUCCUCACUUUGUAUGUAGUAGUUGUUUGUGUGUUGUUAAUAAAGCUCUUUCUUUGCAUAUACAUGUGGCAAAUGUUCAUUUUCUCUAUAAAUUCAUUGAUGUCCUGGUUGGUAUCCUAAUAAUAGUGCAGUAGCCUACAUAGGAUAACCAUGAAAUGAAUAUACAGCAUAAUAUGAA
ensembl:lncRNA